AACGAACGCUGGCGGCAGGCUUAACACAUGCAAGUCGAGCGCCCCGCAAGGGGAGCGGCAGACGGGUGGGUAACGCGUGGGAGUCUACCCAUCUCUACGGAAUAACGCAUGGAAACGUGUGCUAAUACCGUAUACGUCCUUCGGGAGAAAGAUUUAUCGGAGAUGGAUGAGCCCGCGUUGGAUUAGCUAGUUGGUGGGGUAAAGGCCUACCAAGGCGACGAUCCAUAGCUGGUCUGAGAGGAUGAUCAGCCACACUGGGACUGAGACACGGCCCAGACUCCUACGGGAGGCAGCAGUGGGGAAUAUUGGACAAUGGGCGCAAGCCUGAUCCAGCCAUGCCGCGUGAGUGAUGAAGGCCCUAGGGUUGUAAAGCUCUUUCACCGGUGAAGAUAAUGACGGUAACCGGAGAAGAAGCUCCGGCUAACUUCGUGCCAGCCGCCGCAGUAACAC
rnacentral:rRNA from 1 species